CAUCGCGACUCGUUAGUUAUAAAGUUAGUUUUUUUUUAAUGUUACUUGUAAUUUGUUUUGAAUUAUUAAUUAUUAUACAAAAUACACUUAAGGACAAGAAUAGUUUUAACGGAUCCCGACGGAAUCCCUAGCCAGGAAUCUUGGGGAUUCCUCCCGAUAUUUUUGGAUCCUCGUAAUCCCGGGACGCCGUUAGUGUCGAACCCUGUGUUCUUUGAAAUUGCAGUCUCUUUUUAAAUGUUGUAACAAUAUGUUAUAUAUUUUUGGCUCCUACAACUGAAGGAAUAUAUAAUACUCUUUUGCAUUUUACAUUGUUAAAUAUACAUCUUAAAGUAUAUUAGAUUAGAUUUUUAGUUUUUGAAAAAGGUUUCUGAUGUGAACCUUGGUAUGUUCAUAUUCAUUGUAUCAAUGUGUUUUACCACAGUGUGCAACUAUGCAUUAUCAUUUAGUGUCAUAUAAGUGGCGUUGAGAAAUAACGGAUAGCGGUUAUGUUUACAAAACCACAGACCAUUAAAUCGAAAACAAAAGACUGAUCUAUCGUAAACUAGCAGUUAUAAAUAUUGAAACGUUCAACUGUCAGGUCUUAGAAAGGAAUGUUGCCAUUAUUAUAGAACUUGAAGGUUAUUAAAUACAAUCUGCAGAUAUGGCAUUUGCAUUAUCCGGCUAAAAUGGGUGACACGCCAUCAAGACCGUCGAGCGGGCCUGAUUAUAUAAAUACAUCCCCUUAUCCAAGACAGGGAUCAAAGCAGGAACCGUUCAUGUUCAAGAUACACUAUCCCCCGGAAAUGAGAAGAUCUGUUCAUUCAAUAAAACCUGUUUACGCAAAAAUAUCAGACGACCAGAUAGAGACUGAAAAAGCCACCGUAGAUAGAGUUCCUCCGAAAUAGAAUAAUUUAGAUUGUGACUUCGAAUUUGAUCCCAAAACUUAAUUUUGACAUUCCCGUAUACUAAGUAAAUAUGCGACUGUGACAUCGUGCACUGUACUUGUUUAUAUAUUUCAUUUUAUGAUUUUCUUAUUCGUAUCAGCGGGUGUUCCGAUAUUUCAAAAGAUACCUUGCAAGUCAGAUAUGCUUUUUAUGUUGUUGAGAUCGUGUUGCUAAAACAAACUAAGCUAAACUAUAGACAUUUAAUUGUUUAUGGAAAGUUUUAACGAUGUGCAAUGUUUGCUUUACAAAAUUGUUCUUUAUAUUGGAUAAUUCUAAGCAAGUGUAAAUCACUUGAUAAAUACAGGUAGUAACUUGAGAGUGCAAAGAAAAUGUACCAAAAGUCAUCCUGUGCUUUGUGGAUUUAUGCAAAUUAGCUGAGGGGUCGUCAACAGGGUGGCACUAUGUUUAUUCAGUAUUGCACAGCUGUCAAAUUAAACCAAUCAAGGAUGAAAGGUGGCACUGUUUUAUGAAUUUUAUUAUGAUUUUCAGUGUUUUAUAUGUUUUAAAAGAACCAUGAUUUAUUAUUAAUUGUUUUAGAUUCAUUUUGAUUUCUUACACGAUGUUAUAUACGCACUUCAGUUUUGGCUCUUGGCUAAUCCAAAGUUUCUUGUCAGUUAUUUGAAUUUGGCAAAUACAAUAAAAUUAACAGAAUUUACA